rnacentral:rRNA from 1 species
GUUGAACGCUGGCGGCAGGCCUAACACAUGCAAGUCGAAUGGUAACAGGAAACAGCUUGCUGUUUCGCUGACGAGUGGCGGACGGGUGAGUAAUGUCUGGGAAACUGCCUGAUGGAGGGGGAUAACUACUGGAAACGGUAGCUAAUACCGCAUAACGUCGCAAGACCAAAGAGGGGGACCUUCGGGCCUCUUGCCAUCCGAUGUGCCCAGAUGGGAUUAGCUAGUAGGUGGGGUAACGGCUCACCUAGGCGACGAUCCCUAGCUGGUCUGAGAGGAUGACCAGCCACACUGGAACUGAGACACGGUCCAGACUCCUACGGGAGGCAGCAGUGGGGAAUAUUGCACAAUGGGCGCAAGCCCGAUGCAGCCAUGCCGCGUGUAUGAAGAAGGCCUUCGGGUUGUAAAGUACUUUCAGCGGGGAGGAAGGGAGUAAAGUUAAUACCUUGGCUCAUUGACGUUACCCGCAGAAGAAGCACCGGCUAACUCCGUG